rnacentral:rRNA from 1 species
AUGGAUGGCUUACUACAUUGGGAUUUCUCCCCCGGCCUUGCGGUCGCGGCUCAGGUGCGUCAACGUUUUGGUUCGUCGGUGCACUUCUCCCCCUCUGGUUCGCACAAAGAGUUCUUCUUGGUGGCUCAUUUCUCCUCAGCAAGUUUUCCCCUCAAUGAAGACUCUGUGGCCAUUGCUUUACAAUGUUGCAUUGGGGGGAACCCUUUGGGUCUCAAGGUUUUACACCUCUCUGGAAGAAGAUAUAGGUUCUCUGUGGCCUCCAAUAAGGUUGGACAUUACGUUUAUGGUCUCAAGGACAGAAUCUGGCCUGACUUUGUGUGCCAUUUUAAUCUAUUUAGGCCCAAUUAUAAUGGCCAUUUGGUACCUGAUACUUUGUGGGAUCUUGAUGAUCAUAUCACUGAUGUGGCUGCUCGCUCACGAUGGCUAUUAAAUCCAAAUAUAAGUUCAUAG